AAAUGUCCUCACUGACUAGACGUCUGAUCAGAGUAAGUGAAAACACCUGCGGGGGGGCAGAGCUGUUUUAAAUGCGGUGAAUUAGAAGUAUAAAGUAGCACAACAAGGAUUUACCAGAAAUACCUGAGUGAGGUACAAAUAAACAGAUGAACAACGAGCUGAGAGUCUGUAGCCGCAGGUUCGGCUGAUGGUUCGCCAGCAGAGACGCCGACACACCGUCACUUCAUCCAGUCAGUGUGUUUCCAAACCUGAAUGGAAACACCGGAAAUAUCUGUAAAAAAAAAAAGUGGUUCCUGUUGUGUGAGGUGUAAAGAGUCGGUGCGCGGAUAAAAACAGAAACAGACUGAGUACGGACCAAAAACACCUGAUGGAGAAUCAGCCACCGAACUGGGAUCGUACCUGGAGCUGUGUCGCUGAAACCUCAUCAUCGAACCUACCUCACUCCCAUAAAGAUUUUUAAUGAAAAUUACUCACCGUUAUGCUCACUACCCACUUUGGUAAUGAUGUUUCUCUCUUUUGGAAAGUCGUUUGCUCCUUAUUGACAACGAUUUUGGAUUGGGAAGUGCCAUGCAACCCCACUGUUAUUGCUCCUGAAUGACUUGUCUUUGCUAAAUAUAUCACAAUAUCAAAAACGUAUCUUAUUAGCCGGCCUAACGGCAACAAAAAGGGAAGAAGCUAGCAUUGCGCUGGAGGCCUCCGCGUACUCAAAAUCUCAGUGGAUCGGUAUAUAUUUAUAUAGAGGAAACGAUUAUUUCCUGGACAAGAAAGGAAAUUCAGAAAUUAAAACACAUUAUAAACGUUAGAAAUGUAUUUCUUAAUUCGUAAUCUUACUAUGUAAUAACUAGAGCGCAUUAGCAUCAGUGCUAGCUAGCUAUGCCUUCGUCCCGCCAAUGCGUAUUCCCUGGAUGCUCGGUCUCCUUAUUUAAAUUUCCCACAACACAUAUUUAUUAUUGCUUUACACGGACUUUAAGUAAAAUCCAAGAGUUUGAGUAACUUUAUUAUAUUAUAACUACAUGAUGACGUUUUGACCUGGAGAUCUGGCUGGGAGUCGCCAUUAGCUCUGUUUGGUUUAUUUAAUGUUGUGUAAUUUUUUGUUAUUAGUUAUCAAUCCAUAACUUGAAUCUCAAUAAAAAUUUUAUCACAAAAAAUGAGAGCU